rnacentral:rRNA from 1 species
CAGUAGCCGCGGUAAAACGGAGGGUGCAAGCGUUAAUCGGAAUUACUGGGCGUAAAGCGCACGCAGGCGGUCUGACAAGUCAGAUGUGAAAUCCCCGGGCUUAACCUGGGAACUGCAUUUGAAACUGUCAGGCUGGAGUCUUGUAGAGGGGGGUAGAAUUCCAGGUGUAGCGGUGAAAUGCGUAGAGAUCUGGAGGAAUACCGGUGGCGAAGGCGGCCCCCUGGACAAAGACUGACGCUCAGGUGCGAAAGCGUGGGGAGCAAACAGGAUUAGAUACCCGGGUAGUCCCUGUCUCUUAUAC